rnacentral:lncRNA from 1 species
CUUUUCUUUUUCUUUUCACAUCCACACAACCAUGAGCCUUUUCUUUGUUUUUUUUUCUUUUCUUUUUCUUUGCUCUAUGGUUUCAAGGGUGAUUUCUUUUUCUUGUUUCUUUUCAUACUUUCACCCUUCCCUAAAAACUCACUUCUCCAAGUUUCUAAUCAACUAUUUUUUUCUUUACUCUCCCCAACUUUAGAUUCCAAAACCAAAUCUAU